rnacentral:rRNA from 1 species
AGGACGAACGCUGGCGGCGUGCUUAACACAUGCAAGUCGAGCGGAAAGGCCCUUCGGGGUACUCGAGCGGCGAACGGGGUGAGUAACACGUGAGUAACCUGCCCCAGACUUUGGGAUAACCCUCGGAAACGGGGGCUAAUACCGGAUAUGACACUUCACCGCAUGGUGUGGGUGUGGUAAAGUUUUUCGGUUUGGGAUGGGCUCGCGGCCUAUCAGCUUGUUGGUGGGUAAUGGCCUACCGAAGGCGAGGUACGGGUAG